CUGCUUUGUUUACCUAAGCAAGCCUGGGCAAUGGCGGGCGCCCCUCCCCCAGCCUCGCUGCUGCCUUGCAGUUUGAUCUCAGACUGCUGUGCUAGCAAUCAGCGAGACUCCGUGGGCAUAGGACCCUCCGAGCCAGGUGCGAGAUAUAAUCUCGCGGUGCGCCGUUUCUUAAGCCGGUCCGAAAGCGCAAUAUUCCGGUGGGAGAGACCCGAUUUUCCAGUGAGAUGAACCGUGUACCUCAGAUGGAAAUGCAGAAAUCACCCGUCUUCUGCGUCGCUCACGCUGGGAGCUGUAGACCGGAGCUGUUGCUAUUCGGCCAUCUUGGCUCCUCUCCUGCACUGCAAGAAUGGACUAAUAUACUAUGUGAAGACAAAGGGGAUGUCUGCAAGCCAGGACGAGUGCGUCUACCAGAAACUGAGUUCUGCUGGACUUUGAUCUAGGACAUCCAGCCUCAAGAAUGGAAUGUGCCAUAUGUGGAGACCUGCAUGGAAAGGAACUGAGGAUGCUCUCUGACUAAAAGCUAGAAGGAACUGAGGCCCUCAGUCAACAGUCUACAAGACACCAAAUCUUGCCAGCAGCCAUGCAGUGAGCUUGAAAGCAGAUCUAUCAUCAGCUGAACCUUCAGAUGAGACUGCAGCCUAAGCAGACACCUUGGUUGCAGCCAUGUGAGACAACCUGAAACAGAGGGCACAGCUAAGCCUCAGCCAGGUUCAUGACCCUCUGAGGAAGCUGUGAGAAAGCAAAUGUCACUUUAGGCUAUUUAAUUUUGGAGGUAGUUUGUUACACAACAAUAAAUAACUAUUAUAAUUAUCUUGAGGAUUUCCUGGGGAGAAUAAAUGGAAUUGUAUAUAUAGGUCCUCAUAUGCAGAAUACUGGUACCCCAGAGAUGUUCACCCCAGAGAUGUUGUAGGAACCUGUGAAUAUGUUACAUUAAAUGGCAAAGUUUUCCUGGAUGGUUUAAGUUUAAGAUGGAAAAGUUUUACUGGAUUAUCCAGUGGGUCCAAUCUAAUAACAUGAGUCCUUAAAAAUGGAGAAUAUUUUUUGGCCAUGAUCAGAGAGACAUGUGAUGAUGGAAGAAGUGUCAGAGAUGCAAUGUGAGGGGACUAAAACUGCUGUUGCUGACUUAAAAGAUGGAGAGAGGGGAACCCGAGUCAAGGAAUGCAAAUGGCCUCUGGAAGCUGGAAAAGGCAAGAAAUGGAUUCUUCUUUACAGCCUCCGGAAUAAAAUGCAGUCAUGCUAACACCUUGAUUUUACCUCAGUGAGACCAAUACUGGAGUAUGACCUCCAGAGCUGAAUAAAAUUAUAUGUACACAUCUUAAUUUCUUGGGAUUUGAUUACUUCUUCUGCUUUGAAAUUAGACCAAGUUUAGCCUGCCUUUGCUAUUUUGGCAUAUCUCCAAUUCUUCAUGAUUUUCUCAUAGUGUUGCCUCCAUAUGAUGCAAAAUAUCCAACCUAGCCCUGACAUGAAAACUUAAUUGAAAGUAUCCAACAGUGGUGCAAAGGCCACAUAAGGACAGUGAGAAGGCAGCCACCUGCAAGCCAGGAAGAAAGGUCUCACCAGAUACCAACCCUGCCAGCAUGUUGAUCUUGGACUUCCAGCCUCCAAAACUGGCCUUCUGCUCACAUGGGCUUCCGUGCACCUGCUUCAGGAGACAGCAACACUUGUGCCCGCACUGCGGCAGGCUCCCAUCACCUGGUGGAUAUGCCGCGCCGAGUCUCAUCACACCUUAGUGAAGGAACACAUGGACCCAUAUGUUAGCGGAUGUGUUUACAUCGUUUUAUACAGAAAGGGGAA
rnacentral:lncRNA from 1 species